GCCAAAAAUCUAGCCCUAAGACAAUGAAUAAAACACCAUAAACUUACCACCACAAACUAAACCAUUUUAACACUUUAGUAAAGGAGAUUAAAAAAGUAUUAGGAGCUAUACAAACAGUACCGCAAGGGAAAGAUGAAAUAAAAAUGAAACAACUUUAAAGCACAAAAAAGUAGAGAUUACUUCUCGUACCUUUUGCAUCAUGGUUUAACUAGUCCAACCAAGCAAAAAGACUUUAAGUUUGACCUCCCGAAACUAAGCGAGCUACUUCAAGGCAGCUUAUUGAGCUAACCCGUCUCUGUUGCAAAAGAGUGGGAAGACCUUCAAGUAGGGGUGACAGACCUAACGAGCUUAGUGAUAGCUGGUUACUCAGGAAAAGGAUUUUAGUCCUACCUAAAAUUUUAGCUAUAAAACUAAAUACAACUAUUUUAGAGCAAUUUAAAUAAGGUACAGCCUAUUUAAAACAGGAUACAACCUAAACAAAUGGGUUAUCUAUGACUUCUGUACAACCAAGUGGGCCUAAAAGCAGCCACCUUAAAAAAGCGUCAAAGCUUAAUUGAACUAUCUACCCUAAUACCUAAAUUAACAGAAAACCCUUCACCAAUACUGAGUAAUUCUAUAUCACUAUAGAAUAUUUUAUGUUAGAACUAGUAACAAGAAGAAGAACUUCUCUUUAAUGCAAGUGUAAAUCAGAAAGGACACCCCACUGAUAAUUACUCACCCAUGAGCCAAAAGUAGUAACCCAACAAGAAAACUCUACUAAACUUAACGUUAACCUAACACAAGAGCAUCUCAAGAAAGAUUAAAAGAAAAAGAAGGAACUCGGCAAAUCUUAACCUCGCCUGUUUACCAAAAACAUCGCCUCUUGAAAAAUUAUAAGAGGUCCAGCCUGCCCAGUGACUCUGUUCAACGGCCGCGGUAUCCUAACCGUGCGAAGGUAGCGUAAUCACUUGUUCUUUAAAUGAGGACUAGUAUGAAUGGCACCACGAAGGUUAUACUGUCUCCUUUUUCUAAUCAGUGAAACUGAUCUCCCCGUGAAGAAGCGGGGAUACAAUUAUAAGACGAGAAGACCCUAUGGAGCUUUAAACUAAAUUACACUUGCUUAAAUUUUCCCUAAAUUUCAGAAAAACCACAAAUAUUCUAGCAAGCUGAUAAUUAGUUUUCGGUUGGGGUGACCACGGAGCAUAAAAAAACCUCCACAUUGAAAGGAACCUAAUCCUAAGCCAAGAGCUACAACUCUAAGCAUCAACAAAAUGACAUUAAUUGACCCAAUAUAUUGAUCAACGAACCAAGUUACCCUAGGGAUAACAGCGCAAUCCACUUCAAGAGCUCCUAUCGACAAGUGGGUUUACGACCUCGAUGUUGGAUCAGGGUAUCCCGGUGGUGCAGCCGCUACCAAAGGUUCGUUUGUUCAACGAUUAAAACCCU
rnacentral:rRNA from 1 species